rnacentral:misc_RNA from 1 species
AACUUUUAGCAAUGGAUCUCUUGGUUCUGGCAUCGAUGAAGAACGCAGCGAAAUGCGAUAAGUAAUGUGAAUUGCCGAAUUCAGUGAAUCAUCGAAUCUUUGAACGCACAUUGCGCCCCCUGGUAUUCCGGGGGGCAUGCCUGUUCGAGCGUCAUUACAACCCUCAAGCUCUGCUUGGUAUUGGGCCCCGCCGGUUCCGGCGGGCCCUAAAGUCAGUGGCGGCGCCAUCCGGCUCCGAGCGUAGUAAUUCUUCUCUCUCUGGAGACCCGGCUGUGUGCUUGCCCGCAACCCCCAAUUUUUUAAGGUUGAUUUCGGAUCAAGUCGGGAUCCCAGUUGAACAUAAGCAAAACAAAAAGCGGAGCCU